rnacentral:rRNA from 1 species
AGCGAACGCUGGCGGUAGGCCUAACACAUGCAAGUCGAACGGCAGCACAGUAAGAGCUUGCUCUUACGGGUGGCGAGUGGCGGACGGGUGCGGAAUACAUCGGAAUCUACUUUUUCGUGGGGGCUAACGUAGGGAAACUUACGCUAAUACCGCAUACGACCUACGGGUGUAAGCCGGGGAUCUUCGGACCUUGCGCGAUUGAAUGAGCCGAUGUCGGAUUAGCUAGUUGGCGGGGUAAAGGCCCACCAAGGCGACGAUCCGUAGCUGGUCUGAGAGGAUGAUCAGCCACACUGGAACUGAGACACGGUCCAGACUCCUACGGGAGGCAGCAGUGGGGAAUAUUGGACAAUGGGCGCAAGCGUGAUCCAGCCAUACCGCGUGGGUGAAGAAGGCCUUCGGGUUGUAAAGUCAUUUUGUUGGGAAAGAAAAGCAGCAGGUUAAUACCCCGCUGUUCUGACGGUACCCAAAGAAUAAGCACCGGCUAACUUCGUG